AGAAAGGGGAAAGGAAGGAAGGAAGGAAAGCAAGAAAAGAGAAAGGAAGGAAGGAAGGAAGGAAAGCAAGAAAGAGAGAAAGGAGAAAGGAAGGAAAGCAAGAAAUAGAAAAGUGAAAGAAAGAAAGGAAGGAAGGAAAGCAAGAAAGAGAGAAAGGAAGGAAGGAAGGAAAGAAAGAGAGAAAGGGGAAAGGAAGGCAGGAAGGAAAGAGAGAAAGGAGAAAGGAAGGAAGGAAAGAAAAAGAAAGAAAGAAAGGGAGAAGGGAAGAAAGGAGGACACAGAGAUUCACUUUGUUUGUGUCUGCUGAAGCUGUUUUUUUAUUUUUUAUUAUUUUUUAUUUUUUACAUAGAGAGGUCAGGGAGGGAGUAUUGAGACCCUUUGUAACAUAAGGCUAAUACUGAUUCCUGCUCUUUGAUAGGCUAGUGACAUAAUUUACUAGUUUGUGUACAUGUGUCCGUGUCGAAGCCUUUGUUUUUUUUACAUAGAGAGGUGAGGAGGGGAGGAAUGAGACCCUUUGUAAAAUAAGAUGAUUGCUGGUUCCUGUUCUUUGAUAGGCUAAUGACACUGUUUACUUGCUAUAGAUGUUUCUGUACUAAAGUCUUUAUUUUCAUUUUUAUUCCUUAUGAGACGAGGAAGGAAAGGUAGCCAGCUCCAUUUGUUUAUUAAUAAGAAAACUACUAAUUCCUGAUGUUCGACAGACUAGUGACAUUGUUUAGUAGUUUGUUUACGAGGUUAUGUGCUGGGUGCCUCUGUCUUAUUAUUUUUUACAUGAGACGAGAAAGGAAAAGUUGUAACGACCCUUUGUAACAUAAGAAAACUACCAAUUCCUGCUGUUCAAUAGACUAGUAAUGAUAUUGUUACUAGUUUGUUUACAAGGUUAUGUGCUGGCGCCUCUUGUCUUAUUUUUUUUUACAUGAGACGAGAAAGGAAAAGUUGUAACGACCCUUUGUAACAUAAGAAAACUACCGAUUCCUGCUGUUCAAUAGACUAGUAAUGAUAUUGUUUACUAGUUUGUUUACAAGGUUAUGUGCUGGUGUCUGUCUUAUUUUUUUUUACUUGAGAUGAGAAAGGAAAAGCUGUAACGACCCUUUGUAACAUAAGAAGAACUACUAAUUCCUGAUGUUCGACAGACUGGUGACAUUGUUUACUAGUGUGUUUACAAGGUUAUGUGCUGGCGCCUCUGUCUUAUUUUUUUUUUACAUGAGAGGAGGAAGGAGAAGUAGUUGUCGAUAGCUUUGUAAUAUUAGAAAAACUACUGAUUCCUGCUCUUUGAUAGACUAGUGACAUUGUUUACUAGCUUGUUUAUAUUUGUCUGUGCUGAAGCCUGUAUUGUUUUUUGUUUGCAUAAGAGAGGAAGGGAAGAUAGUCCCAAUCCUUUGUAUAAUUAAUAAUAAGAAAACUACCGAUUCCUGCUCUAUGAUCGACUAGUGACAUUGUUUACUAGCUCAUCUAUAUUUGUCUGUGCUGAAGCCUCUAUUGUUUUUUGUUUACAUAAGAGAGGAAGGGAAGGUAGUCACAAUCCUUUGUAUAAUAAGAAAACUACAAAUUCCUGCUCUUUGAUAGACUAGUGACACAAUUUACGAGCUCAUUUAUAUUUGUCUGUGCUGAAGCCUCUAUUGUUUUUUGUUUACAUGUAGGAGGAAGGGAAGGUAGUCACAAUCCUUUGUAUAAUAAGAAAACUACAAAUUUCUGCUCUUUGAUAGACUAGUGACAUUGUUUACUAGCUCGUUUAUAUUUUUCCAUGCUGAAGCCUGUACUGUUUUUUGUUUACAUAAGAGAGGA